UACGGGGGGGGCAAGCGUUGUUCGGAAUUACUGGGCGUAAAGGGCUCGUAGGCGGCCAACUAAGUCAGACGUGAAAUCCCCAGGCUUAACCUGGGAACUGCGUCUGAUACUGGAUGGCUUGAAUUCGGGAGAGGGAUGCAGAAUUCCAGGUGUAGCGGUGAAAUGCGUAGAUAUCAGGAAGAACACCAAUGGCGAAAGCAGCUCUCUGGGACGGUACUGACGCUGAGACGCGAAAGCGUGGGGAGCGAACAGG
rnacentral:rRNA from 1 species